GCGGGACACGUGGUAUCCUGUCUGAAUAUGGGGGGACCAUCCUCCAAGGCUAAAUACUCCUGACUGACCGAUAGUGAACCAGUACCGUGAGGGAAAGGCGAAAAGAACCCCGGCGAGGGGAGUGAAAAAGAACCUGAAACCGUGUACGUACAAGCAGUGGGAGCCUCUUAAUGGGGUGACUGCGUACCUUUUGUAUAAUGGGUCAGCGACUUAUAUUCUGUAGCAAGGUUAACCGAAUAGGGGAGCCGAAGGGAAACCGAGUCUUAACUGGGCGUUAAGUUGCAGGGUAUAGACCCGAAACCCGGUGAUCUAGCCAUGGGCAGGUUGAAGGUUGGGUAACACUAACUGGAGGACCGAACCGACUAAUGUUGAAAAAUUAGCGGAUGACUUGUGGCUGGGGGUGAAAGGCCAAUCAAACCGGGAGAUAGCUGGUUCUCCCCGAAAGCUAUUUAGGUAGCGCCUCGUGAAUUCAUCUCCGGGGGUAGAGCACUGUUUCGGCAAGGGGGUCAUCCCGACUUACCAACCCGAUGCAAACUGCGAAUACCGGAGAAUGUUAUCACGGGAGACACACGGCGGGUGCUAACGUCCGUCGUGAAGAGGGAAACAACCCAGACCGCCAGCUAAGGUCCCAAAGUCAUGGUUAAGUGGGAAACGAUGUGGGAAGGCCCAGACAGCCAGGAUGUUGGCUUAGAAGCAGCCAUCAUUUAAAGAAAGCGUAAUAGCUCACUGGUCGAGUCGGCCUGCGCGGAAGAUGUAACGGGGCUAAACCAUGCACCGAAGCUGCGGCAGCGACACUAUGUGUUGUUGGGUAGGGGAGCGUUCUGUAAGCCUGUGAAGGUGGCCUGUGAGGGUUGCUGGAGGUAUCAGAAGUGCGAAUGCUGACAUAAGUAACGAUAAAGCGGGUGAAAAGCCCGCUCGCCGGAAGACCAAGGGUUCCUGUCCAACGUUAAUCGGGGCAGGGUGAGUCGACCCCUAAGGCGAGGCCGAAAGGCGUAGUCGAUGGGAAACAGGUUAAUAUUCCUGUACUUGGUGUUACUGCGAAGGGGGGACGGAGAAGGCUAUGUUGGCCGGGCGACGGUUGUCCCGGUUUAAGCGUGUAGGCUGGUUUUCCAGGCAAAUCCGGAAAACCAAGGCUGAGGCGUGAUGACGAAGCACUACGGUGCUGAAGCGACAAAUGCCCUGCUUCCAGGAAAAGCCUCUAAGCAUCAGGUAACAUCAAAUCGUACCCCAAACCGACACAGGUGGUCAGGUAGAGAAUACCAAGGCGCUUGAGAGAACUCGGGUGAAGGAACUAGGCAAAAUGGUGCCGUAACUUCGGGAGAAGGCACGCUGAUAUGUAGGUGAAGCGACUUGCUCGUGGAGCUGAAAUCAGUCGAAGAUACCAGCUGGCUGCAACUGUUUAUUAAAAACACAGCACUGUGCAAACACGAAAGUGGACGUAUACGGUGUGACGCCUGCCCGGUGCCGGAAGGUUAAUUGAUGGGGUUAGCGGUAACGCGAAGCUCUUGAUCGAAGCCCCGGUAAACGGCGGCCGUAACUAUAACGGUCCUAAGGUAGCGAAAUUCCUUGUCGGGUAAGUUCCGACCUGCACGAAUGGCGUAAUGAUGGCCAGGCUGUCUCCACCCGAGACUCAGUGAAAUUGAACUCGCUGUGAAGAUGCAGUGUACCCGCGGCAAGACGGAAAGACCCCGUGAACCUUUACUAUAGCUUGACACUGAACAUUGAGCCUUGAUGUGUAGGAUAGGUGGGAGGCUUUGAAGUGUGGACGCCAGUCUGCAUGGAGCCGACCUUGAAAUACCACCCUUUAAUGUUUGAUGUUCUAACGUUGGCCCGUAAUCCGGGUUGCGGACAGUGUCUGGUGGGUAGU
rnacentral:rRNA from 1 species